CAGAGUUCAUGCCCGAAAGGGUAGACCUCCCACCCUUGUGUAUUAUUACUAUGUUGCUUUGGCGAGCUACCCUUUUGGGUCUUGUAUGCUCGCCAGAGAAUAUCAAAACUCUUUUUAUUAAUGUCGUCUGAGUACUAUAUAAUAGUUA
rnacentral:rRNA from 1 species